GCCUGGGUGGCUUAGUUGGUUAAGCAUCUGACUUCGGCUCAGGUCAUGAUGUCAAGGUCCUGGGAUCGAGCCCCACGUCGGGCU